UAUACGAUGAAGAGUUUGAUCCUGGCUCAGGAUGAACGCUAGCGGCAGGCUUAACACAUGCAAGUCGAGGGGUAUAGUUCUUCGGAAUUAGAGACCGGCGCACGGGUGCGUAACGCGUAUGCAAUCU
rnacentral:rRNA from 1 species